rnacentral:rRNA from 1 species
GACGAACGCUGGCGGCGUGCUUAACACAUGCAAGUCGAACGGAAAGGCCCUGCUUGCAGGGUACUCGAGUGGCGAACGGGGGAGUAACACGUGGGUGAUCUGCCCUGCACUUCGGGGUAAGCCUGGGAAACUGGGUGUAAUACCGGAUAGGAGACAUUUUUAGGGUGAUGGUUGGAAAGUUUUUGCGGUGUGGGCUGAGCGCGCGGCCUAUCGGCUUGUUGGUGGGGUAAUGGCCUACGAAGGCCGCGGCGGGUAGCCGGCCCGAGAGGGUGGACGGCCACCAUGGGCCUGCGGUACGGACCAGUCGCCUACGGGAGGCAGCAGUGGGGAAUAUUGCACAAUGGGCGCAAGCCUGAUGCAGCGACGCCGCGUUGGGGAUGACGGCCUUCGGGUUGUAAACUCCUUUCGCUAGGGACGAAGCUUUUGUGACGGUACCUAGAUAAGAAGCACCGGCUAACUACGUG